CCUACGGGUGGCAGCAGUGGGGAAUAUUGCACAAUGGGGGAAACCCUGAUGCAGCGACGCCGCGUGAGGGAUGAAGUCCCUCCGGGUUGAAAACUCUAUCAGCCGGGGAGAAGAACGCCGGUCCCGGACUGCGCCGCGCCGGCUCAAUCCGUGACAGCCGCCGCGGUAAGACGUAGGGGGCGAGCGUUAUCCGGAUUUACUGGGUGUAAAGGGAGCGUAGACGGCUGUGGAAGUCUGAAGUGAAAUGCCAGGGCUCAACCCUGGGACUGCUUUUGAAACUGUGGAGCUAGAGUGCUGAGGAGGUAAGCGGAAUUCCUAGUGUAGCGGUGAAAUGCGUAGAUAUCAGGAGGAACACCAGUGGCGAAGGCGGCUGACUGGAGAGUAACUGACGCUGAGGCUCGAAAGUGCGGGGAGCAAACAGGAUUAGAUACCCGGGUAGUC
rnacentral:rRNA from 1 species